rnacentral:lncRNA from 1 species
CGAGAUUUUGACCGUGCAUUCAAACGGAGAACGUCUUUACUAACAAUGGCGAAUAUUUAAAGACGAAACCAACAAAUAUGGUAAGUGAAAUCACUUAUAUUGCAUUUUACUAUUGUGUAAAUGAUGCGGUCCAAUUUUCUAAAAUUAUGCAGCGUAUUUACUCAAAAUACCCAGUACAUAAACAUGAUAAAAUUACCAUUAAGUAUCUAUAAAACAAUAAUUAUAGAACCACAUAUUUUAAAGUGACAUUUUGAAUAGGAAAACAACACAUUUGGCAGACGUUUCUCGAACGUGACACAUCAUUCUGACAGUGUUUUACGGGUUUGAUUUAACUAUAACUCAUAUCUUGCUGUCAUAUGCAAGAACAAUAUCAGUCAAUAUAUUUUUUGAGUUUAUUGUUCGUCCUUUUUUUUUCUUUAAUUAAUUUUCUAUCAUGUUUAAGACAAUAUAAUCAAUCUCUUUAUCUUAAGCUGCUACAACUUUCUAGUACAAGGCUUUGUGAUAUAUUAGCAUUUUGUAGAACAAGAUGGGAACUAUUAUUUUUUGGCUCCAGUAAUCGUUACCCAAGAAAGAUUUAUGAUAAUGAUGGUUACAUUAAUCUUUUUAAUGUCAGUGGGUAAUACAAAGUUAAGGUAUCGUGUUGUGUUAUGCCUUAAAGUUGUAAAAUAAAAGUUAUUUGAGGACCUGGGGAAAUGAUUGAGAACCGUUAAAGUACGAAGUUCAUGAUCAAGAUUCCAAAUGCUGGACGGUUUUGCCAAACACGUCUAAAGUAAUGUAUUCCUGGGGAAGAAAAUCUUUAGUUUGUGAAUAAAAAAAAGGGAAACAAUUUAUUAUUAUGGACAUUUCAAUGAUAAUACAGUAGAAUUUCUGACUACUGGGCAAGUAAUAUCCUUGGGAACAUCGUUCUUUAUUCUGAUAAAAAUUUAAAUACAUAGCGUUUUUUUUUCCAUCUCGUUCUCUCAUCUUGAAACCGAAUAAAUAUCUUUAUAUAUGUUUUUUUCACAGAUAAUUGAAUAUCUUUUCAUUCGAUUUUUUACCUGUAGUUACACCGUGUAGAACACCAUAUGCCGGGUGUACACUAUCUUUGACACGGGGUAGCAGUUUUGAAGCGGAGAACGCAUUGCACGGAGGGGAAACAGAACAAUAAUCUAUUUCAAACAGAAGCAGACGUUUAAAUUGCUUUGUUUACUCAAACACCUAGCCCUUGUUUUCAGUGUUGCAGUUCCAGGUUAUCAAACUUAUGUUGACGAUUUUCCCCGAAUGAUUUAUAUAGAAAUGAAAUACUAUUAUUAAAUUUAAUCAGACGACAGCUUCGCAGUAGAAAAACUAUUGGUUUUAAUACUAAUUUGUUAUCAAAAUAUAAGGCGUCGCUCGCGUGUCAGAUUGUACGUCUCAAAGGUAGAGGCAUCUUUUUUAAUAAAAAGAGUAGAUUUGCAUAUAAAUCGGCCUUUAUCUGAUACAAAGUAAUUCAAACACAUCUACUGAUUCCUACUCUGCUAUGUUGACAAUUUACAAACAAGGUAUCUCAUUUAGCCAAUAUUUAAGUAUUUUACGUAAUUCGAACUUUAAACGUUAGAAAAAGUCUCAAAGUGAUCACAUAAUGAAACACGAAGAGAGGUCAAUGUCAUUGAUUUUGUGUUAUACGUUUAAAGCAUAAAAAAGCAAAAUGGUGUACACGAUUGGUCCGUGUAUAUCUGCGUCCAAUCGUUUUUCGUUUUGAUGUAUCAAAAACAAAAAACAAAAAACGAAAGUGUUUCAUUUUCGUUUUUGAUUCUUUAAAACCAAAAUGAAAAAAAAAGUGUUUUUCGUUUUUUCGUUUUUGAAUUUCACAAAACAAAAACGAAAAAAAAAGUAUUUCAUUUUUCAUUUUUGAUUCUCAAAAACAAAAUCGAAAAUGAAAGUGUUUCAUUUUUCAUUUUUGAUUCACAAAAACAAAAACGAAAAAAGUGUAUUCAAUUUUCUUUUCCCCCACACGUUUAUUGUCAUUCAAAAAAUGACAAUGUUGUCAUUUACAUUCAUUUAAAGGUCGUUAAAGUAUCAGCACAGCGGUUGUCAGAUCAAUACUACUUUAUCGAAGAUAUGUCGCCGGAAUGCAAAAAGUCUUUAGCAAUCGGAACAAUAGGGUGCGUGAUCUUUACUUUUAAGUUGGAGAGUUAAUCUAAUGAUAAUACAGAAGCGUAACUAGCCUCUUUUACAAAAAAAGCAAACUAUAUAAUGUUGGCGAGGGACGGCCUCAAGGACCCCAGAAGAACUGGAAAAAAUGAUACAAAAUCUUUCAGGCCCUUUCUUAAUCUAAAGCGCAAGUUUGUUUUAUCUAUUUAUUAUGUUCUGUCUCGGAGCAAAUAUAUAAGACAGUGUAAGACUUUUAGUAUUUACAUGUAGAGCAAUAUCAAAAGACAUAUGUAGAUGAAGAAAAAAAAUAAUGGAAUCCACAAAGUUAAGUGGUGUGGCUAUUGUUAGUUUAAACAUAUUAUAUAAUUGUGGUUGGAAAUUUUCUCCAGAAACGGGAUCGAACAGGAACUUAUGUUUUUGUAUCCGGUCAACUAGCCUAUGUUACUUUUUGUAUAAUGAGAUCAAUGGUCCUAUUCUCGUUCGCUCCUUUCAAAUGAAGAAGGAAUAAAACCCUGUAUUAAUAAUUUAUUUUUCUAUAUAUUGUUGCGAUUUGUCCCGUUACAUUUACUCCACAUCUCUUUAUUUUCUAUUUUGGACUGGGCACGGCUCAAUGCUAGUUAGCCUCCAAUAUAAAGGUCAUAUGGUUUUUUUUAAAAAUAUUUGAUGCCGUGGGUUGGAUUUUUAGCUUUAAUGUAAACCAUGUCCGUUUUUAACUUUUUACAGCAAAGAGCCGUUUUUUCUGUAAUAUACUGUAACAGUUAGGAGCACUCCACAGUUAGGUGGUAGUUUCGCAUUUUGGCCCCUGUGAGCUAAUGUGCAAUAAAAUCAAUAUGAGUCUUUGUAAUAUGGAGUAUGCAAUAAAUUCAUGUUUGGUCCGAUUAAAUGCGAGUAUUAAAAUAGCCCUUUUGUUAUUGAAAACAGCGUUUAUUAUGAACUAGUCAAGGGGGUAUAUGUGAAUGUAUGCAAAUAUAGCCUGUACACAUUUCUGUAAAUCUAUGACAGCACAUGCCCGUUAUUUGCAUGGAAUCCCUACCAUGCUACCUUGGUGCCGACACAAAUCUAUCUGUAAUGUUGUUUUAGGAAUGCCAGCAACUUACACAUCGCACGAUUGUACCUUUGAUAUCCUCAGAAUGUGGAUAAGUGCAGUACGAAGAAAAGAAAUUGAUUGAGAGCUUCUAAAGACUACAGCAUUGUAUUGCUAUUACUGUACCCAUAUAGGAAAUGAUUUAGAAUAACCAGUUGAAGUUUUUCUAAAAAGGUAUUAACAUCAAAGGCAUUGAAUUCUAAUGAUUUGGUAUCCAAUUUUGGGUGUAGUUUCGCAUAUUGAGAGCUAGAAUAUGUCCAACCCCUUUUGAGUGCAAUAUAGGCUGUUUUCUGUAUGACAGUCGUAUUGCAUGUCCUACCAUAUAUUUCAUUUAUUGUAAUGUUUUCCAUGUUGCCAUGGGGGGAUACACAUAAAAGGAAUUUAACUUUUGAAUAAUCAGAAUGUAUGGAAGAUACUGGAUUACAUACAUACAUAUCACAUGUACAAACCCAGUUAGGUUAAUGUAUUAGAAAUCCAGGAAUAGGAGAUGAUAAAACAUUUUGUGGCUCAUUUUUAAUUUUAUUUUCUAACUGUGGAGUGCUACCUUAUGGCACAUCAGAAAGCACAGAAAAGCACUUUUUAAGAUAAAAUUUACCACAAAUCUUUAGUCUUUUAUGUUCUUGUUUAAUUCUGAUGUAAAACAUCUGUACUCCAGGGGAAUAUGCCUCAGAAUGUAUCGCUUAUUUACUUUUGACUUCUACAUUAUCAAAAGGAUGUUUCUUAGCAACCAAUUGGACCGAAUAUUGGACACUGCAGACAUGUUCGUCUUAAAUUUUACUCUUCAUUAGGACUCUUCGCCAUUGUGAACAGAAGAUUGGAUGACACGAUUUUAAAUCAGAUGGUAGUUUAGUACAAGGGGUGGUCUUUAGCCUGCUCUUUAUCCCUUUGUACUCCAAGCGACUUUUGGGCGAUAGUUGUGUUUCCUUUUCCCGAAAGCGCUCAUCAAUGUUGUAUUUGUAGUAUCCCCUCCGAAACUACUAGUGUUGCAAAUGUUCCCAAGUCUAGCAGUUCCCUAUGAUUUUCAGAAGAUUUAUGUUCUCUUGAUUUCGGCAUGCGGCUGAAUGGGAUACCACGGUAGCAGUGUUUAGAUGGCCUUUUAGAGAAAGGAUUGAUGUUGCUUUUGUUUGGGCUGAGGUCCUAUAAUGGUUUCCGUUCUUGAUGUUAACUGUAUAGAGAGAGAUUUGCCAUUUUGUUUUUUUAAUUAAUUUUCUAACUUCAGAGCUACCUUUGGAUCCCUAAAGAGAGAUGAUUUUAAGUUAAAUCACCUAUGAGAGAGUCUUUAUUUCUUGUUUUUCCAACAAGAAAUCUGCUAGAAGAAUUUUGUAUUUUAUUUUUAAUAUCUCCUUAUUAAUAUUUUUAUCAAUUAUCAUUUGAGAAUAAACUUGUAUAUCAAUCGAUUUUGAGAAUAAUUUGUUAUAUCAAACCUUUUUGAGAAUAACCUUGUUUAUAUCUGUUCUUCUUGUGAAUAACUUGUUAAAUAAUUAUUGAAGAUACUGUUAUAAAAUAUACCUUAUUGAGAAUAACUUGUUAAUAACUUUCGAAAUAAAGCUAUUCUUCGAGGAUAACUUGUUAUAAUCAACUCUGUAUUGUGGAUGAAUACUUGUUUAUAGGGCGAGCUCCUAUUUGAGAAUAACUUGUUAUAUUCAAACUCUAGUUGUUGAGUAUUGAUUAAUUAUUUUGGUUGUUUUAACAAAAUAAGACACAAUGAGUUUCUUUACUUCCGAUGUUAUAUGCAGUCAAAAAAAAACAUAGAUCCUGCCAUGUGUGAAUUAACUAAGUAUGUGUAUUUUAUGAAGAGUCAAAUAUUUCUAUUAAUUGCUUCCACGUGAUACAAAGAUCAAACUCGAGAAUAUGUCGCUUAUAUUCAUUUGAGAGAUGAUUAUUACUGGUUGUUUUAACAAAAAUAAGACACAAUAGUUCUUUACUUCCGAUGUUAUAGCAUAAACAUAGAUCCUGCCAUGUGUGAUAUAUAAGUAUGUGUAUUUUAUCAGUAAAAUAUUUCUAUCUAAUUGCUUCCACGUGAUUACAAGAUCUCGUAUGCUUAUUGGUUGAUUCUAUAUACGUCACAGAUGCAUGCACGUGUGCUUUUGACAUCACCUGACCUAAACUAUAUCUUAAAAUAGUUCAGGAGUGUCCGUAACAGAUAUACAUAAUAAUGUAUUAUUUUCUUCUUCUGGAUCGAUAUUACUAAUGUAAAAUAGAAAAUCCUUUACAUACAUUGUAUAUAUAUAUCUCGUAUCUCUAUUAAAAUAAUAGCAUUAUUUGAUGGUCAGCUAAAUAAUUAUAGUUUGAUAGUUAAAGUCAAUUGGUAUUCUUCAUUUAGAAAAAAAAACCCUAUUAUUUGUCAGCGGUUGAACCUAUAAUUAUUGUAAUAUUCGUAUAUACAGGUGGUCGAUCCCCAAUGAGAAUCAAAUCUGAACUAGUGACUUGUAUGUAUAAGUCAAUUAUCCAAUAAGCGUUUCUCCUACUUCCCAGUAUGUAUGAAUAUUUUAGUGGAAUGACACGUGGUAUACGGUAUAUUAAUUUUUAGUGCAUGACAUAUGAUAUCUUCAUUUUAUUCUUACUGAAAAUUAAUUAUCGUUUAAAAGGAUACAAUAGAUACAAUUAAGUCUGCCUCAUAUCUUUACUUAUACACCUAGAAAUUGACAUUAGGGUCGGUUGAAAACGAUAUAAGAGAUGAUAUUUUAUCGUCCUAAUUGUGAACGCUUCAUUUUUAUGAAGCAAAAUUCCAGCAACGACUGCAUACGCAGGAUACAUAUCUCCCAGUUCACUACAAUAUUCCAGAAAUUGUAUUUGCCAUCAUGAUAUCCUUGAUAACAGAUGCUGCUCAAAAGGAAGCUUAAAUCAUGGUACACUACAUUUUAUGUGCGCCAACACCAGUUGUGAGUGCUUUAUUGGAUAUCCGUUUCAAAGAUAAUAACGUAUAAAUUGAGAAAGGAAAUGGGGAAUAUUUCAAAGCGACAACAACCCAACCAUAGAGAAGACAACAGCCGAAGGUCACCAAUGGGUCUUCAAUGUAGCAAGAAACUCCCGCACCCGUAGGCGUUUCGAAUAUGUACCCGUAUAUGUUUCGAAUGUCGUUACUACAAUCCCGUCCUCUUUCCACAAAUAUGAACUACUGUAGAAGACUUAUUACCUGGUUUGUGCUCACAUGAGCAACAUGACGGUUGUCACAUGCGGAGAAGGAUCUUCUAACUCUUCCGUGGCACAUGAAAUCCCCAGUUUUUUUUCUGUCAAUUAUAUUUUUCAGUUUUUCUAGGUCAAAUAAUUCUUCCACAUCUAUGUAAUGUACCUUUAAUGGAAAACAUGUACAAGUAUCAUACCACAUGAGUGUAAAAUGGUCUUGGGCCAUUUGUAAUUCAAAAUUUAAUUUGGUCAAUUUAGACAUGUUAAAAUAAAAACACGAAUACUGAAGCUAUAAGACAUGGAAUUUUGUUUUAUCUUUGGUUCAUUCAUUAAUUCAUAUGCUCAGAUCUCAUGAAAGUGAUGCUGAUGCGUUGUUUUUUCAUGAUACCACACAAUAUUUACGUUCGUACAAUGUUACAGAGUUUCCGUCGUCGUCGUCAUCCAAUUACAUUAAAUUACUAACAAUAACUUGAGUAUAAACUCAUUAAAAUUGUAACAAAAAAGAUUUUGGGUGUUAUUGAUCUUACUGUUUAGGUAUGUUGGUUCAAAAACAUGCAUUUUUCUUGUUGCAAGGUUUCUGGACAAUAACUUGGGUCUAUAUGAAAUUUUACCACAAGGUUCAAUACCUGAAAUGUAAUGAUGGGGUGGAUUUUGGGGGUUAUGUGUCUUCCUGUUUAGGAAAAAGAGUCCAAAAAUCAAUAUUUUUCUAAUAAAUUUCAAAGUGUUCAAUAUCAAACUAAGUUUCUUGGGUUUCUUUGAAAUUCUGAAUCUAACAGUGUAUUAAGAUUUUAUAUUUGAGGUCCCAUUAUCAAAUUAGUCCACAUUGAGGUUCAAAAGUUCAAAAACAUAAACUUCAACCACAAUUAAGUUCUUGUUUUUUUAUGCUAAAUAUAACUAUACAUUUACAUUUGGGAUAAGGAGCAGGGUACUUUAUUUUAUUCUAAGCGAACCCCUUUAAAAACUUGGAUAAUUUUCUACCCCAAUAAAGAUAUGCUGAAUCAAAGUGUGUUUUCAGAUUUUGGAUAUUUGACCGUAAAAUUCCAAUUCAAUUAGUGUAGUACAACACAUGACCUUGAUCACUAUGACAUAUAUUUCAUUUUAAAUGUUCUUUAUUGUGUUUAGGUUUAUACUCUUUUUACAGACAUGACAGCAAACUAAGGGAACAUAUAUUUAUUCUAGUGAGCUUCCUCCAAGCAUGCUUGCUUGGAGGAUGCUCCGAGCAUUUUAGAGAAGCUAAUAACGUUAAUACACCAUUACACUCCCAUUAAUGUCAAUCAAAUAGAAAAGUUUAUAGUUAAGAGCUUGUAUGAGCUUUUUGUGAGCCUUUUGUACGCCUGUAAUAAUAAAGUUUUACUAUGUUCCCCUAGAAAAUUAGUUAAUUGACACAAAAAUAGAUACAUCAAAACUUAAGGUUAAACAGUUUAGAGACAUUUCAUCAACAUGAGAACGAAAAGCUCUAGUAUAACUAAAACAUAUUUAUAUAAAGCCGAUCAAAAUAACACAACAGUGGUUGUAUAUAAAAUCGAUUACAUUAAAACAGAAACAAGUCACCUUAACAGUUAUCAUUACUUGAAAAUAACUAUUAACGUUGUUGUCAAAUCUAUAAAAGAUAUUGUUGAAAACUAUAUAGGAACAAGAAACAGAUUAAUAAACUUAAAUUUUUUUGAAGAAUGAUAACGAAUCAAAACAUGGACACUUCUUCCGAAAAUUCAUAAAAUCAAUCUAGAAAUAAUUAAUGAGACAUUUCGAACUGGUCAAAUAGUUAGCAACAUAAACAGUUCUUACCUACCAAUCAUCCAUAAGAGUAACUCUACUAUGAGACGCAUUGAAAGAUUACUGGAUCUAACUCUAAAACCGUUAUUGAAGAGUCAUCACUUUUACAUUCAAGAUAUAAAAGACUUCAUUUAUAAAAUAGAGUCGCACAAGGUCAAGAAAGAAUGCAUUCUUAUUGCCUAUGACGUAACGGUCAAUUUACACAAAUAUGAAGAUUGAUAACUAAGAAGAAACAGUAUCAAUGCACUUUCAUCAGUUGACUAACAAGAAUGUGCUUUAAAAAUUUAAAACAAACAGAAUAAACGGCAUUUGUAAAGUUAAGAAACAAUGAACUUGAAUUAAAUGGACAUUUAAACAAACAAAUUAUAGGAGCGCCUAUUGGUGGUAUAUUUUCUCCGACAUGCAGAUUAACAUCUGUCUGUCCUAUUAAAAAUAUCUUAGAAAAGUUCCAAUGGAUAGAAAACAUUAAAUUGCACUGUCAAUACAAAGACGACAGUUUUAUGUUCUUCACAGGCAAAUUAAAACAGUUUGAAGGUUUCUUUAACACAGCGAACAACAUUGACUUUCUGCUUAAAAUCACAUUUGAGGUGUCUAGAUUUAGUAUGACCUAUUUAGAAUUUACCGAAAAGUACAAAGGUGAAAGAUUCCAGAAUAAAAACAUACUUGAUGUUAAAUCAAAUAUACCAAAACAUAAAACGUUUCAAUAUUUACCAAUCACUAGUGCCCAUCCUAAACACAUUAACAAGUAUUACAGUGUGUUAAUAUAUAUGUCAUAUAAGAAAUAAUAGUCACAUCGCUGAAUUAGAUAAACAUUUAAAUAUUGAUACGUUUCGUGUUUUAUACGCCCGUCAAAAUUUUGACAGGACGUAUUAUGGUAUACAAAUGUCCGGCGUCCGUCCGUACAUCUGUCUGUCCGUCUGUCUGUCUGGCGUAAACAUGUCGCACCGAAACUUGAGAACAACUCAUCCAAAUUUCACGAAACUUAAUAUAGUUGUUUCGUAUGAUGGUCAAAUGAUCUGUAUACCUUUUGGUGAAAAUAAUAUUAAAACUUUUUGAGUUACGGCACUUUGUAACUAAAACAGGGGUGUGGUUUUUUUCACAUGUCGCACCGUAUCUCAUUAACGAUUUAUGAUAAUUAAUUAAAACUUUAUACACUUCUCAGUUAUAUUAAUCUAAAGAACUGUAUACUUUUUGGUGAUGAUUCAAAAUUUUAUAUUUGAGUUAUUGAGUAUUUUGUAAAAAAAAAGGGUGGGUUUAUAUGUCGCACCGUAUCAGAAAAACAAUUUAUGACUAUUGCUUAAAACUUUACACACUUCUUCAUUAUAUUAUUCUUAAGAUCUGUAUACUUUUUGGUGAUGAUUCAAAAAAAUUUUUAAGAGAUAUUGAGUUUUUUGUUAAAAAAAAGUGUGUUUUCACAUGCUACACUGUAUCUCAUAAUCUUUUUAGGAUUAUUGUUUAAAACUUUACACUGUUCUUAGUUAUAUUAAUCUUAGGAUCUUUAUACUUUUAGGUUUUGAUUCAAUAAUUUAUGUGAGAGAUAUCGAGUUUUUGUUAAAAAAAAAAGGUGUGUUUUCACAUGUCACGCUGUAUCUCAGAAACUAUUUAUGAUUAAUGCAUAAAACGAUGGGCGUAUCAUGCGCUCAUUGCGCAGCUGUUUAUUUUUACAUGUCGCGGCGUAUCUCAAAAACGAUUUAUAAUUAUUGCUAUGAGCUUUACACUCUUCUUUGUUAUAUUACUCUAAAGAUCUGUAUACUUUAAGGUUUAGAUUCAAAAUUUUAUUUAAGUGACAUUUAGUGUAUUGUAAAAAAAAAGAGAAGGGAGGAGGUUUCACAUGUCUUGCCGUAUCUCAAAAACUAUAUAUGGUUAUUGCUUAAAACUUUCUGAGAAACUAUUUAUAAUUAUUGCAUAAAUCUAUCAGACAAGAUGUCGGGCGUAUCAUGCGCUCAUGGCGCAGCUGUUUGUUUUAUAUUUAUUUAACAUCAAAUAUGUUAUUAUUAUUGAAUAUUUCACCUUUGUACACUUCGGUAAAUUCUAAAUAGGUCAUACUAAAUCUAGACACCUCAAAUGUGAUUUUAAGCAGAGGGUCAAUGUUGUCCGCUAUGUUAAAGAAAUCGUCAACCUGUUUUAAUGUGCCUGUGAAGAACAUAAAACUGUUGUCUUUGUAUUGACAGUGCAAUUGGAUUUUUUCUUUCCAUUGGAACUUAAUAUCUAAGAUAUUUUUAAUAGACCAGACAGAUAUUAAUCUGCAUGUCGGAGAAAAUAUACCACCAAUAGGCGCUCCUAUAAUUUGUUUGUAUAAAUGUCCAUUUAAUUCAAGUUCAUUGUUUCUCAACUUUAACAAAUGCCGUUUAUUCGUGUUUGUUUGAAAUUUUUAAAGUAUAUUCUUGUUUGCAACACUGAUGAAAAUGCAUUUAUAAAUGUUACAUCAUAGGCAAUAAGAAUGCAUUCUUUCUUGACCUUGUGCGACUCUAUUUUAUGAAUGAAGUCUUUCGUAUCUUGAAAUUAAAAGUGAUGACUCUUUAAUAACGGUUUUAGAAUUAGAUCCAGUAAUCUUUCAAGGAGUCUCGUAGUAGAGUUACACUUAUGGAUGAUUGGUCGGUAAGGAAUGUUUAUGUUGCUAACUAUUUGACCAGUUCGAAAUGCCUCAUUAAUUAUUUCUAGAUUGAUUUAAUGACUUUUCGAAUGAAGGUACAUGUGUCUAUGUUUUGAUUUGUUGUUAUUCUUCCAAAAAUUAUAAGUUUGUGAAUCAAUUUUUUUUCCUAUAUAGUUUUUCAACACUAUCUUUUAUAGAUUUGACAACAACGUUAAUAGUUAUUUUCAAGUAAUGAUAACUGUUAAGGUGACUUGUUUCUGUUUUGAUGUAAUAGAUUUUUUACAACCGCUGUUGUGUUAUUUUGAUUGGGUUCAUAUACAUAUGUUUUAGUUAUGUUAGAGCUUUUCGUUCUCAUGUUGAUGAAAUGUCCUUUAACUGUUUAACCUCAAGUUUUGAUAUAUCUAUUGUUAUGUCAAUUAACUAAUUUUCUAGGGCAACAUAGUAAAAUUUUAUUAUACAGGCGUACAAAAGGCUUACAAAAAGCUCAUACAAGCUCUUAACUAUAACUUUUAUAUUUGAUUGACAUUAAUGGGAAUGUUAUGGUGUAUUAACGAUAUUAGCUUCUCUAAAAUGCUCGGAGCAUCCUCCAAGCAUGCCUGGAGGAAGCUCUCUAGAAUAAAUAUAUGUUCCCUAAAGUGAUAUAUCAAUAUGACAUAAUUUUCAAAAGUACCACAUAGUACACGAACCAUUGGCUCACUAGGACCUACAUAUAACGGCAGUAUAUCGUGUGUUAUUUAUAUAUACACAUUUGUUAGUUAUAACAAAUUUUACACACUAUUGCACCUGCAAUUUUGUAUGCAUAUACAAAUGAUAAAACAGAUAUAUUGACAGAUGUGAAACAAAGAUGUUAACUUAAUGCCACAUGCAUGGUUUCGGUGCUUUCUUUGUUGAAGGUCGCCGAAAUGGCGUUGUGGUUCAUAAUUAUAUAUAUAAUGUGUUCUCAAAAGCUGGCGUAUCAUGUUCUACUUCUCAUUUUUAAUUUUUAUACAUAAAUGAGUUCUCCAAUGUAAUAAAAAAAUAAUUUGUUUAUAUCACACUUUUCAGGUCAGUCAAAUUUUACAGAGAUUGGUGCAAAAAUAUUUGAUACUCAUAAAGUGAGGCGUCCUCGUUAAAAAUCAGCCAAACGUUUUAAUAAAGCAGUAAUUCUCUCUAAAAGUCUCACUGAAAAAAAAAUAGUUCGUUGUUAUCGACGUCGCGGUAAGGUGUCAAGACGUCAUAAUUGUUUAGAGAAACGAAGUAGUUGAAUAUAACUGAAAAUAGUUACAACUUUCCAUAAACCAACUGACCAAAAAACUAAGACUACCAAUUACAUGUCACCCUUUAACAAUUCAUCUGCCUGAUUAGGGUUACAACUGACAAUCGCAAAACAUGAGAUGCGAAAGUUAACAGUAAAUAGCUUUGCACUUAAUGUUGAUAAGAAAAGAACUUUGUUAAAAUCGCUCGUUGCCUAAACCUCAAUGAUGUAAACAAACUCAUCCUAGAUACCAGGAUUGAAAUUUUGAAUUUGCACCAGACACGCGUUUCGUCUUCAAAAGACUCAUCAGUAACGCUCUAAUGAAUAAAAGUUAAAAAGGCCAAAUAAAGUAAUAACUAUGAAGUUAAUAAACUGUCUGAUUACGAAAUGAUUUUUUUAAUGAAUGUGACCGUCUUCAGCCUGAAAUAUUUGCCACAUUGAACGCUUCGGUAUGUUUAUGGCGAGUAAAUACAACUGCGUCUUCCAAACGACUGCUUAAUCGUAGUUUUUGUUUAUCAAGACUAUUGAACUAAAAAAAAUUAGAGACCUUCCAAAAUCCUGUAUUGGCUGGAUCAGAACACGGCCAAUACGGAAUAGUAUCAAUAUUUGCCGAGUUGAAACUUUUAUAUGUCAUAGUCAGUUUUAAUCAUAUAAAGACCAAGAACAGAGUAGUUAAGUAAUAAUGAUUUUUAUUAAAUGUAUAAACAAAUCAGAACUAAUACGGAAAAAACAUCAUGUGCAAUAAUAUUGACGUUGACCUGACAUAUAUAAAAAAAUCCGUAUUGAUCCAAGGCUCAAUUUUGGUUUUCAUUUGUUUACGCCUAGGAUUACUUAAUUUUGGACGUAUCGUUAUGCAUACAUGUUAAAUUACAUUUUUAUCAUAUUGUUUAACUUAGUAUCACGAAAUUUUGUAAAUGAUAUUCAGUGUUUGUAACGUAUUGUACAUGUUGUAGGAAUAAAUAAACUGUCUGAUUUAUUCUUCCCAGCUUCUUUUUAAGUGGUAGAUAAAACGGAUUGUAAUAGCAAAAGAUUAAGUACUUGGAUGAUGUUUUUUUUUAUCUAACAAUGUUGACAAACAAUCUAUCGUGAAUGCGGAAAGACAAGAUAAGAUGUCAAUUGCUGUAUAUUCUUCACUGUAAUUUUCUUAGUUUUAUCGAAGAAUUAAAAUCAUUAAUAGAAGUGUUAUAAACUGGUGUGUUUCUGUAUUGGUCUUCGAGUCUUUGUUCUUUACAGCUAACAUCGAAUCUCGAAUAAAGAGACAGUUUUUUAAAAGCAAAUUUUCUUGAUUCUGAAUCCUAAUGAUUUGUUUCAAUUGUAUCGUAUUGUUGUGAUAAUUUACCUGAAUAAAUACUGUUAAAACUAACCUCGAAUCUCUAACCUGGCCAAUACAAAAACAGUCUGUUAAUAGCACUAAUUUAUUGUACUUGUCAUUCUGCAAAUUGGUGACUAGAUAACUUAUAUCUUCGAAAAUAUUGAACAUGGAUAACAUUAUUUACUUAUCUUGACAUUAAGACUUAUUCCAAAGGCCUAUUUAAGUGAAAAAAAGAAGCCCUUAACUUGAUUACGACCACAGAGUGACAUAACUAUAAAGAAAAAUCUGCCUAGCCGUGCCGUUUUUUUUUUCACCAAAAGCGUAUCAAGUUUUACUUUUAUAUUUUGUAUUGAUCAUGUUUCGUGCGAGUUUUUAAAAACCAGCAAUCGAUUUAUAUAAAUUUUUCUCAUUUUAGGUAUUCUAUUAGUUAUGCUCAAAAGUUUGACGCCAACACAAGAAAGGGAAACAUAAAUUGGUUGAGAGAUGAAUCGUUUUCUUCGUGCAAUAAAAAAUGGCAUCCCAGUUUCAUAUAAUUAGAUACGC